rnacentral:lncRNA from 1 species
CUCUCGGGGCUGGCCCCGGUGCUGGACGGCUGCAGCCGUGGACUCCGGGAGCUCCAGGCAUGUGGCCAGUACUCAUGGCUCCUCUGGGGCCAGUGUCUGGAGAGAAGGGCAGAGGUUCUGCUCAGUCAUCUGGUAGACCUCAGCUUUGCUUUGCUUGCUAGGUUGCCUUAGAGAGGUUACUGAAAGUCUCUGAUACCCCUCUGUGCGGCGGGGAUUUGUUGAGUGGGUAAUGAGCUGAUCUACGCAGAGUGUCAGGAGCAAUUCCUGGGUCUUUGCGUCAGAACACUCCUGGAGUUCACGCUCCCAGUGAUUCUGCACCCUACGGUGAAGAUGCCAUGAUCAUACUGCGAUGAUCAGCCCCCUUUGGGAGAAUGUUCAGACUCAGAGAGGUUAAUCGGCCCAGGGCUUACAGGGACUUGGUGGCAGAGACAAGAUUCCACCCCAGGAGGCAAGCCCAGACAUUUUCCAAUCCACUGGGACCUCUAUCAGAACCCUGGGCCCUCAGUUUGCAAACUGAAAAGCUUAGAUUCAGUGACCUCCUUCCCAGCUUGAAACUUCUUUAUUUCAGGGAAGAGGGUGGGGCGAGCUAAGAAGCUAGAAGCGUUUUGCCGUGAGCCAAGGACCAAGGACGGGAAUGCACGAUGUACGAGCGAGGAGUCAGGGACGGGGACUCCGAUGGCCGAUGACUCAGACCUGCUUUGCCUGGCUGGGGGAACUGGGCCAUGGGAAGAACACAGGACUGGCCCCGGCCCAGGCCCAACCCCCGCUUGGCCACGGCGGAGAGCCUGCCCCAGGCCCACCUGGCCGAAGCACCAGCAUCAUUCCAGGGGCCUCACCCUGCCUAACUCCCAAGUCCAUGUCCAACACCUUUUCCUGUGUCCACAAUUCUCAUGUGGUUCAAAGACGUAGAUCCAUUACUGUUUCCAGAUGAUCAAAGCAGCUACCUAAUUAACAACCGAGUGAAUGUCCAAGUUAGAGCUUUGGCGUUGGAACAGGAAGAACUGGAUUUGAAUCCAGCUCUACUAAUUAGUGGCUGACUUGGAUGGGUUAAUCUCUCUGACACUUGUUUAUAUCAUCAGUGAAAUGAGUGGCAGGGUAACAGGACCCACUGGAGAUGAUGCCUACAAAGUGCUAGGGGUUUUGCGUGGCAAGUGGCUUCAGAAACAAGGAAAGUACCACUGUUGCGAUUAUUCAGUUGGCUCAGGCAGGCGGAGGCUGUGCUUCCACAUCCCACAGGGCCCUGUGUCCCCAGAGAGCAGGACACGUAGGAAUUUGCCAUCUCAGUGCAGUGCACAAGGACAGAAGCAAGGGCAGCAGGGGCAGUCAGGCUGCCGGGGCAAGGGGCAAGCUUCUGUCCAAAGCAGAAACACUGGCUGGGCCUUCUUUGGUCCAGCAAACCUGGACCUUGGCAGGAAAAUGGGUAUAACAACGACCUCAGCUGGCGCUUGCGGGAACCCACGAUAGGUGCAGACCCUCAGAGGUGCAUGGGGUGUGACUCUCCCUCCACCUCUGUCCAGACCCCAACAAUGGGAGAGGGUGGCAGGUUUUCUGGGUGGGGGAUAGGAAGCCAGCAUCCGAGAACCUGCCCCUGGAUGGCAGGAGGCUAGGCCACGUGAAAGCCGAGGCUCCAAGCCCCCUGUGCUGGCUCCAUUGUCCCAUCAGACUCGACUUACAAAUCACAAGUUUCAAUUUGAAAUUCAAUUU